UACGUAGGGUGCGAGCGUUAAUCGGAAUUACUGGGCGUAAAGCGUGCGCAGGCGGUUUUGUAAGCCAGAUGUGAAAGCCCCGGGCUCAACCUGGGAAUGGCAUUUGGGACUGCAAGGCUAGAGUGUGGCAGAGGAGACUGGAAUUCCUGGUGUAGCAGUGAAAUGCGUAGAUAUCAGGAGGAAUACCGAUGGCGAAGGCAGGUCUCUGGGCUGACACUGACGCUCAUGCACGAAAGCGUGGGGAGCAAACAGG
rnacentral:rRNA from 1 species